CCUACGGGUGGCAGCAGUGAGGAAUAUUGGUCAAUGGACGAGAGUCUGAACCAGCCAAGUCGCGUGAAGGAUGACUGCCCUCGGGGUUGUAAACUUCUUUUAUAUGGGAAUAAAGUUCGGUACGUAUACUGUUUUGUAUGUACCAUAUGAAUAAGGAUCGGCUAACUCCGUGCCAGCAGCCGCGGUGAUACGGAGGUUCCGGGCGUUAUCCGGAUUUAUUGGGUUUAAAGGGAGCGUAGGUGGAGGGUUAAGUCAGUUGUGAAAGUUUGCGGCUCAAACGUAAAAUUGCAGUUGAUACUGGGUGUCUUGAGUGAAGCAGAGGUAGGCGGAAUUCGUGGUGUAGCGGUGAAAUGCUUAGAUAUCACGAAGAACUCCGAUUGCGAAGGCAGCUUACUGGACUGUAACUGACGCUGAUGCUCGAAAGUGUGGGUAUCAAACAGGAUUAGAUACCCUUGUAGUC
rnacentral:rRNA from 1 species